AACGAACGCUGGCGGCAUGCCUAACACAUGCAAGUCGAACGAAACCUUCGGGUCUAGUGGCGCACGGGUGCGUAACGCGUGGGAACCUGCCCUUAGGUUCGGAAUAACUCCCCGAAAGGGGUGCUAAUACCGGAUAAUGUCUUCGGACCAAAGAUUUAUUGCCUUUGGAUGGGCCCGCGUUGGAUUAGCUAGUUGGUAGGGUAAAAGCCUACCAAGGCGACGAUCCAUAGCUGGUUUGAGAGGAUGAUCAGCCACACUGGGACUGAGACACGGCCCAGACUCCUACGGGAGGCAGCAGUGGGUAAUAUUGGACAAUGGGCGAAAGCCUGAUCCAGCAAUGCCGCGUGAGUGAUGAAGGCCUUAGGGUUGUAAAGCUCUUUUAACCGGGAUGAUAAUGACAGUACCGGGAGAAUAAGCCCCGGCUAACUCCGUG
rnacentral:rRNA from 1 species